AGAGUUUGAUCAUGGCUCAGGAUGAACGCUAGCUACAGGCUUAACACAUGCAAGUCGAGGGGAACGACAUCGAAAGCUUGCUUUUGUAUGGGCGUCGACCGGCGCACGGGUGAGUAACGCGUAUCCAACCUGCCCCAUCACUUGGGGAUAACCUUGCGAAAGUAAGACUAAUACCCAAUGACGUCUCUAGAAGACAUCUGAAAGAGAUUAAAGAUUUAUCGGUGAUGGAUGGGGAUGCGUCUGAUUAGCUUGUUGGCGGGGUAACGGCCACCAAGGCGACGAUCGAGUAGGGGUUCUGAGAGGAAGGUCCCCCCANAUUGGAACUGAGACACGGUCCAAACUCCUACGGGAGGCA
rnacentral:rRNA from 1 species